AUCUAAAAGUGGACCAGUUCCCAGGAAUCCCUAAGACCAAGGUGACACAGGGCAAGCCUGAAAGCCUAAGACUUACCUCUGCCUGCUCAUAAACCCAAAAUCAGAAGCCAAGUAACUUCUGGGGAAAUGUAGAUGUUUCCUAAGUGAAUUCUUGCUAAGACCCUGGGUUAAUAACCCCUGAUCAAUAAGGAAUGGGUCUUCCAUUUGGACUCUGUGACAGAAAUCUACCAUGACAGCAUCAAACACCUUUGGGAAAACAGAAGGAGAUAGUUGUUAGGAAGUAACUGAAGUAAGGAAACAAAAAGUAGCAAGAAAAACAAUAAAAAUUUUUUAAAUUACAUGAGUCACUAAAGGAACAGGAAAAGUAAUACAAAAAAGAUUU